rnacentral:lncRNA from 1 species
GAUCUUCUUGACUACCGCUCUGCACUCGGGAAGAGUAGAAACUGUCCGUAUUGUCUCACUGAGCUGGCUCAGUAACGCCUCUUGUGAAUUUCCCCUGGGACUCAUAGGGCUCCGGAGCUAAAUUUGAGGUCCUCUUGAGAAUUUGGGCAGUGCCCAGAUGAUAAAAAAUGAAAGAAUAUUGGUAGGUGAAGGCAGGUUCUAGCUUUCAGGUUGGUUUGACCCGGAAAUUCAAGAAAAUUCAGGGGAAAAAAAAUCCGAGAUUGAUGGAUUUUCAGAUGAUUAACGAUUGACUUUGAGGGAUUAAUGGAGAGAAAGGGAAGAGGAGGAGAUGAAUUAUAGGAUGGAGUUUUAGGUGUGAAGAGCGAAAGCAAACU